UACAGAGGGUGCGAGCGUUGUCCGGAAUCACUGGGCGUAAAGGGCGCGUAGGCGGCUUUUCAAGCGUGCGGUGAAAGCUCGGGGCUUAACUCCGAGUCUGCCGUGCGAACUGGGAGGCUUGAGUCUGGUAGAGGUCGAUGGAAUUCCGGGUGUAGCGGUGGAAUGCGUAGAGAUCCGGAAGAACACCGGGGGCGAAGGCGGUCGACUGGGCCAGUACUGACGCUGAGGCGCGACAGCGUGGGGAGCAAACAGG
rnacentral:rRNA from 1 species